rnacentral:rRNA from 1 species
AUUUGUCUGGUUAAUUCCGAUAACGAACGAGACCUUAACCUGCUAACUAGAUCUCAAUACUCUGUAUUCUGCAACUUCUUAGAGGGACUAUGUAAAUCAAUUACAUGGAAGUUUGAGGCAAUAACAGGUCAGUGAUGCCCUUAUAUGUCCUGGGCUGCACGCGUGCUACACUGAUGCAUACAACAAGUGCCUAACCAGACAUGGUAUGGCAAUCUCGAAUAUGCAUCGUGAUGGGGAUAGAUCUUUGCAAUUAUAGAUCUUGAACGAGGAAUUCCUAGUAAGUGCAAGUCAUCAUCUUGCAUUGACUAUGUCCCUGCCCUUUGUACACACCGCCCGUCGCUCCUACCGAUACCGGGUGAUCCGGUGAACCUUUUGGACUCCGUAUGGGGGAAGAUAAGUAAACCAUAUCACCUAGAGGAAGGAGAAGUCGUAACAAGGUUUCCGUAGGUGAACCUGCRGAAGGAUCA